rnacentral:rRNA from 1 species
GGCAGCACGGGAGCAAUCCUGGUGGCGAGUGGCGAACGGGUGAGUAAUACAUCGGAACGUGCCCUGUAGUGGGGGAUAACUAGUCGAAAGACUAGCUAAUACCGCAUACGACCUGAGGGUGAAAGUGGGGGACCGCAAGGCCUCAUGCUAUAGGAGCGGCCGAUGUCUGAUUAGCUAGUUGGUGGGGUAAAGGCCUACCAAGGCGACGAUCAGUAGCUGGUCUGAGAGGACGAUCAGCCACACUGGGACUGAGACACGGCCCAGACUCCUACGGGAGGCAGCAGUGGGGAAUUUUGGACAAUGGGGGCAACCCUGAUCCAGCAAUGCCGCGUGUGUGAAGAAGGCCUUCGGGUUGUAAAGCACUUUUGUCCGGGAAGAAAUCGCACCUGAUAAUACCGGGUGUGGAUGACGGUACCGGAAGAAUAAGGACCGGCUAACUACGUGCCAGCAGCCGCGGUAAUACGUAGGGUCCAAGCGUUAAUCGGAAUUACUGGGCGUAAAGCGUGCGCAGGCGGUUGUGCAAGACCGAUGUGAAAUCCCCGGGCUUAACCUGGGAAUUGCAUUGGUGACUGCACGGCUAGAGUGUGUCAGAGGGGGGUAGAAUUCCACGUGUAGCAGUGAAAUGCGUAGAGAUGUGGAGGAAUACCGAUGGCGAAGGCAGCCCCCUGGGAUAACACUGACGCUCAUGCACGAAAGCGUGGGGAGCAAACAGGAUUAGAUACCCUGGUAGUCCACGCCCUAAACGAUGUCAACUAGUUGUUGGGGAUUCAUUUCCUUAGUAACGUAGCUAACGCGUGAAGUUGACCGCCUGGGGAGUACGGUCGCAAGAUUAAAACUC